rnacentral:rRNA from 1 species
GGGGAAUAUUGCGCAAUGGGCGAAAGCCUGACGCAGCGACGCCGCGUGAGGGAUGAAGGUUCUCGGAUCGUAAACCUCUGUCAGAAGGGAAGAAACCGCACCGUGCUAAUCAGCGGUGCAUUGACGGUACCUUCAAAGGAAGCACCGGCUAACUCCGUGCCAGCAGCCGCGGUAAUACGGAGGGUGCAAGCGUUAAUCGGAAUUACUGGGCGUAAAGCGCACGUAGGCUGCUUUGUAAGUCAGGGGUGAAAUCCCACGGCUCAACCGUGGAACUGCCUUUGAUACUGCUUAGCUUGAAGCCGGGAGAGGGUGGCGGAAUUCCAGGUGUAGGAGUGAAAUCCGUAGAUAUCUGGAGGAACAUCAGUGGCGCAGGCAGCUUAACAAGCCGUAACUGACGCUCAAGCACGAAGGCGUGGGGAGCAAACA